GGGGGGAGAUGUGGGGCGCGUGGGGGAAGCCAGCCCCAUAGCGGCCCCAUAGGAUGCCCCAUAGAGGCCCCAUAGGACACCCCAGCCCCAUAGCGGCAACUCAGUCCCAUAGGACACCCCAUCCCCAUAGGACACCCCAGCCCCAUAGCACCCCCAACUUGUGGGGCAGACCUACCAGCGCCCUCUUGACGUACUCCUCCUGGGCCGUCUUGCUGCUCUCCUUCUCACCCCAUAGCACACCCCAGCCCCAUAGGAGCCCCAUAGGAGCCCCAUAGCGCACCCCAGCCCCAUAGCAGCCCCAUAGGAGCCCCAUAAGACACCCCAGCCCCAUAGCAGCCCCAUAGGGCACCCCAUCCCCAUAGGGGGCGCCAUAGAACACCCCAGCCCCAUAGGGCAUCCCAGCUCCAUAGCACACGCCAGCCCCAUAGGGUUCCCAUAGGGCAUCCCAGCCCCAUAGGACACCCCAGCCCCAUAGCAGCCCCAUAGCAGCCCCAUAGGACACCAAAGCCCCAUAGGAUGCCCCAUAGGAGCCCCAUAGAACACCCCAGCCCCAUAG
rnacentral:lncRNA from 1 species